GGCCGGUUAGCUCAGUGGUUUGAGUGCAGUGCUGACAACAAUGACAACACUGAGAUCGUGGGUUUGAUUCCCGCUCGGUCCU
rfam:Apaloderma vittatum contig16351, whole genome shotgun sequence.